AUUGAACGCUGGCGGCAGGCCUAACACAUGCAAGUCGAACGAGUGGCGGACGGGUGAGUAAUGUCUGGGAAACUGCCUGAUGGAGGGGGAUAACUACUGGAAACGGUAGCUAAUACCGCAUACCAUCGGAUGUGCCCAGAUGGGAUUAGCUAGUAGGUGGGGUAACGGCUCACCUAGGCGACGAUCCCUAGCUGGUCUGAGAGGAUGACCAGGCACCAUGGAACUGAGAGACGGUGCAGACUCCGACGGGAGGCAGCAGGGGGGAGUAUUGCGCAAUGGGGGAAACUCUGAUGCAGCAACGCCGCGGGCGUGAGGUCGGCCUUCGGGUUGUAAACCGCUUUCGGUCAUGACGCGUUAGUGGCAGAAGAAGCACCGGCUAACUACGUGCCAGCCGCCGCGGUAAUUC
rnacentral:rRNA from 1 species